rnacentral:rRNA from 1 species
CUUGAUGGGGUAAGGCUCCCAGUAGACGACUGGGUUGAUAGGCCAGAUAUGGAAGCCGGGUAACCGGUGGAGUUGACUGGUACUAAUAGGCCGAGGGCUUGUCCUCAGUUG